rnacentral:rRNA from 2 species
AAAUUGAAGAGUUUGAUCAUGGCUCAGAUUGAACGCUGGCGGCAGGCCUAACACAUGCAAGUCGAGCGGUAGCACAGAGAGCUUGCUCUCGGGUGACGAGCGGCGGACGGGUGAGUAAUGUCUGGGAAACUGCCUGAUGGAGGGGGAUAACUACUGGAAACGGUAGCUAAUACCGCAUAACGUCGCAAGACCAAAGUGGGGGACCUUCGGGCCUCAUGCCAUCAGAUGUGCCCAGAUGGGAUUAGCUAGUAGGUGGGGUAACGGCUCACCUAGGCGACGAUCCCUAGCUGGUCUGAGAGGAUGACCAGCCACACUGGAACUGAGACACGGUCCAGACUCCUACGGGAGGCAGCAGUGGGGAAUAUUGCACAAUGGGCGCAAGCCUGAUGCAGCCAUGCCGCGUGUGUGAAGAAGGCCUUCGGGUUGUAAAGCACUUUCAGCGGGGAGGAAGGCGUUAAGGUUAAUAACCUCAUCGAUUGACGUUACCCGCAGAAGAAGCACCGGCUAACUCCGUGCCAGCAGCCGCGGUAAUACGGAGGGUGCAAGCGUUAAUCGGAAUUACUGGGCGUAAAGCGCACGCAGGCGGUCUGUCAAGUCGGAUGUGAAAUCCCCGGGCUCAACCUGGGAACUGCAUUCGAAACUGGCAGGCUAGAGUCUUGUAGAGGGGGGUAGAAUUCCAGGUGUAGCGGUGAAAUGCGUAGAGAUCUGGAGGAAUACCGGUGGCGAAGGCGGCCCCCUGGACAAAGACUGACGCUCAGGUGCGAAAGCGUGGGGAGCAAACAGGAUUAGAUACCCUGGUAGUCCACGCCGUAAACGAUGUCGAUUUGGAGGUUGUGCCCUUGAGGCGUGGCUUCCGGAGCUAACGCGUUAAAUCGACCGCCUGGGGAGUACGGCCGCAAGGUUAAAACUCAAAUGAAUUGACGGGGGCCCGCACAAGCGGUGGAGCAUGUGGUUUAAUUCGAUGCAACGCGAAGAACCUUACCUGGUCUUGACAUCCACAGAACUUUCCAGAGAUGGAUUGGUGCCUUCGGGAACUGUGAGACAGGUGCUGCAUGGCUGUCGUCAGCUCGUGUUGUGAAAUGUUGGGUUAAGUCCCGCAACGAGCGCAACCCUUAUCCUUUGUUGCCAGCGGUCCGGCCGGGAACUCAAAGGAGACUGCCAGUGAUAAACUGGAGGAAGGUGGGGAUGACGUCAAGUCAUCAUGGCCCUUACGACCAGGGCUACACACGUGCUACAAUGGCAUAUACAAAGAGAAGCGACCUCGCGAGAGCAAGCGGACCUCAUAAAGUAUGUCGUAGUCCGGAUUGGAGUCUGCAACUCGACUCCAUGAAGUCGGAAUCGCUAGUAAUCGUAGAUCAGAAUGCUACGGUGAAUACGUUCCCGGGCCUUGUACACACCGCCCGUCACACCAUGGGAGUGGGUUGCAAAAGAAGUAGGUAGCUUAACCUUCGGGAGGGCGCUUACCACUUUGUGAUUCAUGACUGGGGUGAAGUCGUAACAAGGUAACCGUAGGGGAACCUGCGGUUGGAUCACCUCCUUACCUUAAAGAA